ACAGGUGAGGACCUUGGGAACA
rnacentral:miRNA from 1 species